rnacentral:rRNA from 1 species
GUGAAAAUCUGAGGUGGUCAACACCAAAGAAUUGUAAUCUAAAGAGUUGAUCUAAAGCUAAGCUCCUCGCAUAAGUUCCUUGGAACAGGACGUCAAAGAGGGUGACAACCCCGUAGUCGGCGAGGAAGGCUGGUGAAGGAAAGACUUCAAUGAGUCGGGUUGUUUGGGACUGCAGCCCUAAGUGGGAGAUAAACUUCUUCUAAAGCUAAAUAUACACGGGAGACCGAUAGCGAACAAGUACUGCGAAGGAAAGAUGAAAAGAACUUUGAAAAGAGGGUUAAAAGACUUGAAACCGUUGAGAAGGAAGCUGUAGAAGAGCAAUAAACUGGAUUCAGUGUAAGAGGGAAACGUUACUCACUGCGAAAUCGAUACGAAAGGUCGAUUAGUAAGGAAAGGACGUCGAACUUGCUAUUGGGUUCAGAAGACAAAAUGAGUUCUGACUGGAGGAGUCAUCUGAGAUCAGGGUCAAAGCAGAUCAAAAGAGAAACUCCAGACGGGACUGAGGGGCCUACGGGCGAUUUUGUCAAAAUGGCUUCUACUGACCCGUCUUGAAACACGGACCAAGGAGUCUAUCAAUUAAGCGAGUGAUAGGGUGGAGAAACCCGUCCGCGAAACGAAAGUGAGUAUAAGGUGCCAAGCCGCAGGUAGCAGCAUCACCCGACCUUGAGUCUACGACGAAGGUUCGAGGAAGAGCUUAAUUGUUAGGACCCGAAAGAUGGUGAACUACGCUUGAAUAGGGUGAAGCCAGGGGAAACUCUGGUGGAAGCUCGUAGC